rnacentral:lncRNA from 1 species
CUCCUCCUAAACCACCCAAGGUAAAGCACCCCCUUCCGCCUCUUCCACCUAAACAUCCUCCACAUGUCAAGCCACCGCAUACACCUAUGCCACCCAAGCCUCCUGCUGUAAAACCACCAUAUGUACCUAAUCCUCCAGUUGUGGAGCCGCCUUAUGUGCCCAAGCCUCCUGUUCUAAAUCCGCCUCAUGUGCCCAAACCUCCUAUUGUAAGGCCUCCUGUUGUAAAACCACCUUAUGUGCCCAAGCCACCAGUGGUUCAGCCCCCACCGCCACCAGUGGUUCAUCCCCCACCGCCACCAACACCGUGCCCACCACCACCACCCCCCAAGGGGAGGCCCCCACCACAAAAGAAGCCUCCUGUUCUAAAUCCGCCUCAUGUGCCCAAACCUCCUAUUGUAAGGCCUCCUGUUGUAAAACCACCUUAUGUGCCCAAGCCACCAGUGGUUCAGCCCCCACCGCCACCAGUGGUUCAUCCCCCACCGCCACCAACACCGUGCCCACCACCACCACCACCACCCAAGGGGAGGCCCCCACCACAACAGACAUGCCCCAUUGACACUCUGAAGCUAGGUGCAUGUGUGGAUUUGUUGGGAGGG